AUGGCCUGGGCUCUACUCCUCCUCACUCUCCUCUCUCAGGGCACAGGGUCCUGGGCCCAGGCUGCCCUCACUCAGCUGCCAUCCGUGUCCGGGAAUAUGGGACAGUCGGUCACCAUCUCCUGUGUGGGAAGCAGCACUGACAUCGGGCGUUAUAACUACGUCUCCUGGUACCAACAGCGCCCGGGCACGGCCCCCAAACUCCUGAUUUCCUACGUGAAUGCUCGGCACUCGGGGGUCCCCGAGCGCUUCUCUGGCUUCAAGUCCAGCAACACGGCCUUCCUCCUCAUCUCCGGGCUGCAGGCCGAGGACGAGGCCGAUUAUCACUGCUUCUCCUAUGUGGGCAGCAACACCUGGCUCUUUGGGCUCCAAUCCACGCAAGUGCCCUUCAGAGGUGGGCCCAGGAGCUCAUGA